UCGAGCGCUCUACUUCGGUAGGGAGCGGCGGACGGGUGAGUAACACGUAGGUGAUCUGCCCUCAGGUGGGGAAUAACCCGGGGAAACUCGGGCUAAUACCGCAUAUGGUCUACGGAUCAAAGCCGAAAGGCGCCAGAGGAUGAGCCUGCGUCCCAUUAUUUAAUCCUAGUUGGCGGGGUAACGGCCCACCAAGGGUACGAUGGGUAGCUGGUCUGAGAGGAUGAUCAGCCACACUGGAACUGAGACACGGUCCAGACUCCUACGGGAGGCAGCAGUGGGGAAUAUUGCGCAAUGGGCGAAAGCCUGACGCAGCCACGCCGCGUGUGUGAUUGAAGGCCUUCGGGUCGUAAAGCACUGUCUGGAGGGACGAAUACUGACGGUACCUCCAAAGAAAGCACCGGCUAACCCUGUGCCAGCAGCCGCGGUAAUACAGGGGGUGCAAGCGUUGCUCGGAAUUACUGGGCGUAAAGCGUGCGCAGGCGGCUCAUCAAGUCGGGGGUGAAAGCCCGGGGCUCAACCCCGGAAUUGCCUUCGAAACUGGUGAGCUUGAAUGCGGGAGAGGGUCGCGGAAUUCUUGGUGUAGAGGUGAAAUUCGUAGAGAUCAGGAAGAACACCGGUGGCGAAAGCGGCGACCUGGCCCGACAUUGACGCUCAUGCACGAGAGCGUGGGGAGCAAACAGGAUUAGAUACCCUGGUAGUC
rnacentral:rRNA from 1 species